GAGAGUGGUAUCUCAGACAAGGUCUCUUUGUGUUUCUUACAUUAGUCCUGAUCUUACAACCCUCCCGACACAGCCUCCCAAGUUUAGAAUUACAAGUGCGAACCACCAAUCAAUCUGGCUAGGAACCUUUGUACAGUACAUCCCCACUUUGAGGUGAGCUGGUGCCUUACUGUACACAUUUAUCUUUUUAACAAAGCAAUACACACCCUUGGGAAAAGAAUGGAGAUUAGAAAAAAGAGUGAAAAUGGCUUCUCCUGUGUCCUACUCACAACUGUUCCCACAGAGGCUGCUGUUGAAGCUGAGAUUCGCCUCUACUGAGUUCCGUCCCUCCAUCUGAGUGCAGCUUUAUAGACUACAGGUGCCCUUCCUUUACUAAUUAGUGGUACCAACCACGCCCAGCUUGCACUCCAAGGAACCAUGCAUCUAUAGCUACAUGCAUGGACAUACCGCCUCUCUUUAAAGGCCACGUUCUAUUAAGCACUUCCUCCCCAGCUGUCAUGUGACAGGCGAUUUCCCACAGGUAACCUCUGUUCACACAGGAAGGAUGAAUUCUCUAGAGUGUGGUGCUCUGUCGAAGGCUGCCGCUUGGUCGAUAGGCUGCGGUCAUGGCCCACACCAUUCCAGAUCUCUGCUGUCUGGGGCACAAGGAGGACAUCUCACUGUCGUCUGUUCAGCAGCCUAUUACAGGGCCCUGCCACCCAUCACUGAAAGGACAGGAAUCUCUGUAGGCUGUGGAAGUCCCAGAGGCAGUGCAGGUGGCAGAAACAAGCCUGUAAGCUCAAUUCUUGAGAGGCUGAGGCAGGAGCAUCACCAUGGGUUUGAGGCCAGCUGGGAUACAAAUUGAGUUCAAGUCCAGCCGGAGUUACAGAGUGAUACUAUGUCUCAAAAAAAUAAAAUAAAAAAUCAAGGUGUUAUCAGGACUGUAUUCCUCCUAGGGUUGUGAGGAAAAACCCUUGCUUGCCUCUCCAGUGGCUACCAGCUGUCCUUAGCUUGUGGCCACAUCACUCUGAUCUUUGCCUCCGUCACCAACAUUGUCCUUUUUGUGCCCUUCCUACCCCCUGUUUGGAUUGAACCUAGGGCCUCAUGCAUGCCAGGCAAGUGUCUGCCACUGAGCCACAACUUGCCCUCCACUGUUUCUG
rnacentral:lncRNA from 1 species